AAUGAACGCUGGCGGCAGGCCUAACACAUGCAAGUCGAACGGAUCCUUCGGGAUUAGUGGCGGACGGGUGAGUAACGCGUGGGAACAUACCCUUUGGUACGGAAUAGCCUCGGGAAACUGGGAGUAAUACCGUAUGUGGUCGAGAGACGAAAGAUUUAUCGCCAAAGGAUUGGCCCGCGUUGGAUUAGGUAGUUGGUGGGGUAAUGGCCUACCAAGCCGACGGUCCAUAGCUGGUUUGAGAGGAUGAUCAGCCACACUGGGACUGAGACACGGCCCAGACUCCUACGGGAGGCAGCAGUGGGGAAUCUUAGACAAUGGGGGAAACCAUGAUCUAGCCAUGCCGCGUGAUCGAUGAAGGCCUUAGGGUUGUAAGGAUCGUUCAGGUGGGAAGAUAAUGACUGUACCACCAGAAGAAGCCCCGGCUAACUCCGUGCCAGCAGCCGCCGUAA
rnacentral:rRNA from 1 species